rnacentral:rRNA from 1 species
UACGUAGGGUGCGAGCGUUGUCCGGAAUUAUUGGGCGUAAAGGGCGCGUAGGCGGUUAGAUUAGUCUGAUGUGAAAGACCUGGGCUUAACCUGGGAUGUGCAUUGGAAACGGUCUGGCUAGAGUUUGAGAGAGGGAAGUGGAAUUUCCGGUGUAGCGGUGAAAUGCGUAGAGAUCGGAAAGAACACUCGUGGCGAAGGCGACUUUCUGGCUCAAAACUGACGCUGAGGCGCGAAAGCGUGGGGAGCAAACAGG